CUUGUCAUUUUUGCUGGAAAAUCAGCAAUCGGUUUUCAAAUUGCUGGACUUUCCAGCAAUCGGUCUAGUUUGCUGGAAAAUCAGCAAUCGAGUUGUCAAAUUGGAGUCUGUUUGUUUUCGUACGCUGAAGCAAGCAACCAGACAUCAAGUCAAGGGUGGCGGAUGAUUAUCACAUUGGCACAAAGCUGCCACCCCGGAGGCGG